AACCUGUAAUGGGGUUAUGGUGAGUGAAGCUGGCAGUGUACUCUUGAGGCUCUCCAGUAGAGGGAGGUAGUGCACUACAAAUGUCUUAAGGCUUGCAGGCUUUGGUUUAAGUCUCGUGAGACUUUGUUUAACUCUCGUUUGGUUAGAAGCGUGCAGCCGCCAUUUUUAAAAGGCUCGUGGGCUCUUGCCCAGCGAUCUUUUUGGCUCACUGCCAGGGAUAUGUGCAGGUAGCACGGAGGGCUGAAACUUCAGAGCAGCGUUUUUGGUACUUCAUUCGGUUGGUUUGGAGUGUGGUAGGGCUGGAGAAGUCAGCCGUUGUGCACCAGUGAAUCCGGUACACAUUGUGGGAGUCCAGAUACAGUGUGGAAUAAGAGCCUAUUUUGUAGUGAACUGCAGCCCUGUGUAUGCCGGUGAGCCAGUGUGCAUUGUGGAAGUCCAGAUACAGGUAUCUGAUGUUUCUGUUUAUUAUUUUGUGAGCUGCAGGUAAAAUUAAAUCAUACAGCAUGCUUAUUUGGCUGUUUUUGUUUUAAAGCAGUAACAUCCAGUAGUGGACAGCAGUAACAAGGGAAGUGGAGCCCUUCCAAGGCAGAGAUAUAGAAUGUUUAGAAUAUAGGUAGGUUCAUGUUUUAAAUUAGUUUUAAUGAAAGAAAAGUUUUAGAGCUGUAAAGUGCUAAUGGUGUGCUUUCUCCUCUUUAGGAGUAUCCCUGGCCAGUGAAAAUUAAUUAUUGUUCUUUCCUUCCCCUUGAAACUUUUAAUAGUAAUAUAUAUUAAAGAUUGGGUUUUAAAGGUAUCAAACGUUAAUUGAUUUGAGUGCCAAUUCUGUUUUAAAUUAAAAUUGCAUCACAUUCAAUUGAACCAGUUGGACAGUGUGGGGCCUGGUGGGAGGUGGUAUUAUUAUAAUCUCGUGUUAACUAAGCUGAGGUACAAGUCGUGAGGGUUCUCUUUUGGGGUGGAGUGUGUUUUCUUUAAGUUAAUUUUGAAUUUGUUUGAUUUUGAGUUUGUUGUGUUAUUUAUUUUAUUUAUAUUAUUUUUUUUGAAGUAUUUGGUUAUAAUUGAGCCCUUAAAACUCUUGUAAAUUCUUGCUUAUUUUCUGUUGUGGUAUUAUACUACUAGUUUUCCCACGUUCAAGCUACCAGGCAAUUAAUUCCUUUAUUAACACUGCCAAUUGUGGAUUUGGGUCAAUUCAUGUGAGCAAACGAGUUGUUGUUUUUUUUAAGAUUUUCUAAUAAAGACACAUUGUGAAACUUCA